rnacentral:lncRNA from 1 species
GUUUGCGUGCAGAAGUGUCACACACUAAGCACAGCUCAUAGAAGUGUUCAGUCGACAUGUUUUUAAAACGGAUUACAAACUGCCUUUUAUUUUUUACUUUAACGUUUCUCCCAAAUACAGAUGCAGAGAAUGAUUUCAGAGCAAUUGAAGGAGAAACUGUCUAUCUUCCCUGCCACUCACCCCCUAUUGACAGUGUACAAGUUUCUGUAGAGUGGACAAAACAUAGUACAAACAGCACAACUAUUUGUCAAUGGUAUAUUAAUAACAUUACUGGAUCUCACACUGGAGACUGCUUUCCUCGUUUCAAAUUCAACAACAAGUCUUUUACACUAAGUAUAGAAAAAGUUCAGCUCAUUGACUCUGGUCAUUACAGCUGUACAACAUCAAGAUUAAUACCACCACCAACAUUACACAAUACCACAAAUGUGACACUCCAAGUUGAAGUUCGUCCACAUCUGUCUCUGCAGAAACUGAACAGCAGUAAUGUCACCUGUAUCCAUCUGCUCUGCUCUAUGGAGGAUCUGAUGACUGAGCUGGUGAACUUCACCUGGAGCCGAGAGGGUCAAAGUUCACUUCAUCCAUUCAAAUCUUAUGCCACGAACAGUGAGCUGCGUCUGUGUAAACCUGACUGGAGUGAUGGAGACACAAUCACCUGUUACGCCAGCUACUCAGACACCCAAACUCAAAGAAGUAUACACCUGCCCUCACAGAGUGAUUCUGACAAAGUUGUCCAGCUGCUGAUCAUCUCAUGCAGUGCUGCUGCAGGCCUCAUCCUCUGCAUCAUCCUUACCGUUGUUAUUUGCAAAUGCAGAAAGCAAAACGAAAAUGGAUCUAUAGUGUUCAGCAAUAAAGUCUAUGAGAACUUCAGUUUCGCCAUGGCCCGUCAGAACACACAGUCCAAUGAUAAACCACAGCCAGAAGAGUGUAUUUAUGAGAACUAACUGCUGCUGCUUAUAUAACCUUUGCUUUAAAGCCAGAUCGGCCCAGUUUUUACAAAGGCAGUAUGAUGUAGGCAAAAGUGUGUUAAGUGAUUUAGCGAAGAUAUUUGAUGGUGCACUGCGAAUGUGAAGCAAAAGCUUUCUGUAUUGUUUACAAUGCCUUCACUGACUUCAAACAUUGUAAUCAGGCACUUUAAACAAUCAGUAACUGUUUUCGUUGUGUUUAAGCACUGUAGGUGCACUAAACUAUUAUGUCUUCUAAAUUAAACAGAAUUAAAUUAUGAUAAUGAGCAAGGAUCUCAUAUCCGGU